rnacentral:rRNA from 1 species
UACGUAGGGGGCAAGCGUUGUCCGGAUUUAUUGGGCGUAAAGAGCGUGUAGGCGGCCAUACAGGUCAGCUGUGAAAACUCGAGGCUCAACCUCGAGACGUCGGUUGAAACCGUAUGGCUAGAGUCCGGAAGAGGAGAGUGGAAUUCCCGGUGUAGCGGUGAAAUUCGUAGAUAUUGGGAAGAACACCGGUGGCGAAGGCGACUUACUGGACACAUAUUGACGCUGAGGUGCGAAAGCGUGGGGAGCAAACAGG